rnacentral:rRNA from 1 species
CCUACGGGAGGCAGCAGUGGGGAAUUUUGGACAAUGGGCGAAAGCCUGAUCCAGCAAUGCCGCGUGCAGGAUGAAGGCCUUCGGGUUGUAAACUGCUUUUGUACGGAGCGAAAAGGUUCUCUUUAAUAAAGAGGAUCCAUGACGGUACCGUAAGAAUAAGCACCGGCUAACUACGUGCCAGCAGCCGCGGUAAUACGUAGGGUGCAAGCGUUAAUCGGAAUUACUGGGCGUAAAGCGUGCGCAGGCGGUUAUAUAAGACAGUUGUGAAAUCCCCGGGCUCAACCUGGGAACUGCAUCUGUGACUGUAUAGCUAGAGUACGGUAGAGGGGGAUGGAAUUCCGCGUGUAGCAGUGAAAUGCGUAGAUAUGCGGAGGAACACCGAUGGCGAAGGCAAUCCCCUGGACCUGUACUGACGCUCAUGCACGAAAGCGUGGGGAGCAAACAGGAUUAGAUACCCUGGUAGUCCACGCCCUAAACGAUGUCAACUGGUUGUUGGGUCUUCACUGACUCAGUAACGAAGCUAACGCGNGAGUGACGCGNGGAGCGCGCGAGUAGAACGACGAAGAGUAGAGNGNGNGAGAGACGACGACGACGACGAGGAGGGAGG